rnacentral:misc_RNA from 1 species
UGUUAGCAGAGGAUAAUGCUGCAACAAAGGAUAUUAAAUCUUCUAAAAUCAAAGAAAGUGACAACUAUAGUUCUGCCUUUGUUUCCAAUGGGGUUAUAGAACCUUUAGAAAAGAUCUUCAUUUUGAAUGGAGCUAAACACCAGGAUGAUGAUGUUGCAAUUAGUUCUUUGGCCAUUGUACCUUGCAAGAAACAGGGAGGAGGAAGUUUGUGGAGC